AGGAAGGCCCGUGAGAGAGGGAGAGCGUCGGGAGAGAGGAGGAGCCCGCGGGAGAGGAGCUUGUUGCCGCCGCUGCCAUGGCUUCCUUGCCGUCGCCGUGGUUGGGUAGUCACCGGAGGGAGCCGUCGCUGUCAGCGCCGCCGUCGGGGUUACCGCCGCCUCUGCCGCCGGAGAACACCUCUGCCGCCACUGAGAUCUGCUGCCGUCGCCGUUGCCGGAGUUCUGGUCGUCGCUGCCGUUCGAGGUGGCUGCCGGAGCUGCCGCUAAACCAAUUCAGCGACCGCCGCUGUUUCAUUUUCUUAGUUCGGGUUGUGUUUUGAGCAUUGCAUGUUGCUUUUAAGUUGCUGUGAGUGCUGCAAAAGUGAUCAGGGACUGAGUUUGCGGUUGCUGUUGGUUUCGGGUUAAGAGAAAUGGUUUCGUUGACGCAUUUUAAGUUAUGGUUUCGACGAGUCGAGCUUUACUUUUUCAGGAACCGGAUGAAGAAGCGUUAAGAAGAGUUAUACUGCGUUUGGUU